rnacentral:tRNA from 1 species
ACUAUUUUGGCAGAAAAGUGCAGUGGAUUUAGAAUCUAUAAAUAUAGAUUAAUAUCUAUAGAUAGUA